AGCGAACGCUGGCGGCAGGCCUAACACAUGCAAGUCGAACGAAGUCUUCGGACUUAGUGGCGGACGGGUGAGUAACACGUGGGAACGUGCCCUUAGGUACGGAAUAACUCAGGGAAACUUGAGCUAAUACCGUAUGUGCCCUUCGGGGGAAAGAUUUAUCGCCUUUGGAGCGGCCCGCGUCUGAUUAGCUAGUUGGUAAGGUAAAAGCUUACCAAGGCAACGAUCAGUAGCUGGUCUGAGAGGAUGACCAGCCACAUUGGGACUGAGACACGGCCCAAACUCCUACGGGAGGCAGCAGUGGGGAAUCUUGCGCAAUGGGCGAAAGCCUGACGCAGCCAUGCCGCGUGGAUGAUGAAGGUCUUAGGAUUGUAAAAUCCUUUCACCGGUGAAGAUAAUGACUGUAGCCGGAGAAGAAGCCCCGGCUAACUACGUGCCAGCAGCCGCAGUAACAC
rnacentral:rRNA from 1 species